UUUCCGUAGGUGAACCUGCGGAAGGAUCAUUAACACAAAACUGAGCCGGUUGAUGCAGUUCAUUAAACACGUUCUCAUCUCCGGCUCGACAUUACCCAACAUCGUCUACUUAGUAAUUCGAACCCUGUCGAUCGCGCCUCGGCGUGGUUGGUGGGAGUAGUGAUUCAAGACAGUAUUUAUUAUUAUCUCAUUUACCCUACUUAACGCACUGACCUGUAUGUAGUCAAGCUCUUGCUAGCUACAUGCGCGUAUUGGAUCGAAAGGUUCAAUAUGUUACAACAACACACAUACAACUCUUAGCAACGGAUAUCUCGGCUGAC
rnacentral:misc_RNA from 1 species